rnacentral:rRNA from 1 species
GUGAGGAAUAUUGCGCAAUGGACGAAAGUCUGACGCAGCCAUGCCGCGUGAAGGAUUGACGGCCCUAUGGGUUGUAAACUUCUUUUGUAUAGGAAUAAACCCUCGUUCGUGAACGAGGCUGAAGGUACUAUAAGAAUAAGCACCGGCUAACUCCGUGCCAGCAGCCGCGGUAAUACGGAGGGUGCAAGCGUUAUCCGGAUUUAUUGGGUUUAAAGGGUCCGUAGGCGGAUCGUUAAGUCAGUGGUGAAAUCCUACCGCUCAACGGUAGAACUGCCAUUGAUACUGGCGAUCUUGAGUAUGUAUGAAGUUGGCGGAAUGUGUGGUGUAGCGGUGAAAUGCUUAGAUAUCACACAGAACACCGAUUGCGAAGGCAGCUGACUAAUACACAACUGACGCUGAGGGACGAAAGUGUGGGGAUCAAACAGGAUUAGAUACCCCUGUAGUCC